CCCUUAGAUGUCCUGGGCCGCGCGCGCGUUGCACUGAUGCAUUCAACGAGCUUAUAACCUUGGCCGAGAGGCCUGGGCAAUCUUGUUAACGUGCAUCGUGAUAGGGAUAGAUUAUUGAAAUUAUUAAUCUUGAACGAGGAAUUCCUAGUAAACGCAGAUCAUCAAUCUGCAUUGAUUACGUCCCUGCCCUUUGUACACACCGCCCGUCGCACCUACCGAUUGGAUGGUCCGGUGAAGCCUCGGGAUUGUGGUUCUUGCCGCUUUAUUGUGGCGUGACCGCGAGAACUUGUCUAAACCUUAUCAUCUAGAGGAAGGUGAAGUCGUAACA
rnacentral:rRNA from 1 species